CUCCUGAUUGUUCUGGAACCUUCCCUGUUACCUUACCCAGGGAAAGGGGACCUACUUAACCUGGGGCUAAUAUAUCUGCCUUCUAUCACUCUUCUGUAGCCAUCUGGCCUGACCCUGUCACAGUAUAUACAAGUCUAUAACAAGUAUUUCUAGUAUUUCUAAAUCUUCAGAUUUAGAAAAUGAAUCAGUAAUACAUUUUGUGCCUGUCAUUUCCCCUUUGUCUUCUAGGUGAAAGAGUUUGUCAUAAUUUUCUUAAGUUGUUUCAAAGAAUGAGAUUCUUGUGGUCUACACAACCAUGUGAUUGAAUUCUCUGUUAGUUGUGAUUCUGGUUUAUGAAAGGUGUUAAUACCACUGGCAAUUUGUCAAGAUACUUCAAAAUGUAAUUCUAUCCUGAAAAGUGACUGUGGAAAUUGCAUCUUCUUGAUCAACCAAACUGAUUACAUUAGUGACUCAAACACACUUUUACUACUUUUUAUUCCUGACAGCCCUGCAGAGCCGAUGCAGCUCUGGGAGAGAAAGCUGGAUUCUAUUCCAGCCCAUGCACCACUGGAAGAAUGAUUAAAUAUAUUUCAAUUGCAGGAUCUUUAUUGAUGGGAAUGCCUGAGCAAAAAAAAAGAACCCAGCUUGACUCUGAAAGCUCAGGGUGAGUUUACAGGGAUGGCAAUUAG